GCAUAUCAAUAAGCGGAGGAAAAGAAACCAACAGGGAUUGCCCUAGUAACGGCGAGUGAAGCGGCAACAGCUCAAAUUUGAAAUCUGGCCCCCGGGUCCGAGUUGUAAUUUGUAGAGGAUGCUUUUGGUGCGGUACCUUCCGAGUUCCCUGGAACGGGACGCCAUAGAGGGUGAGAGCCCCGUCUGGUUGGACGCCAAUCCUUUGUAAAGCUCCUUCAACGAGUCGAGUAGUUUGGGAAUGCUGCUCUAAAUGGGAGGUAUAUGUCUUCUAAAGCUAAAUAUUGGCCAGAGACCGAUAGCGCACAAGUAGAGUGAUCGAAAGAUGAAAAGCACUUUGAAAAGAGAGUUAAAAAGUACGUGAAAUUGUUGAAAGGGAAGCGCUCAUGACCAGACUUGGGCUCGGUUGAUCAUCCAGGGUUCUCCCUGGUGCACUCUCCCGGCCCAGGCCAGCAUCAGUUCGCCGCGGGGGACAAAGGCGUCGGGAAUGUGGCUCCCUCGGGAGUGUUAUAGCCCGUCGUGCAAUACCCUGUGGUGGACUGAGGUUCGCGCAUUCGCAAGGAUGCUGGCGUAAUGGUCAUCAGCGACCCGUCUUGAAACACGGACCAAGGAGUCGUCUUCGUAUGCGAGUGUUCGGGUGUCAAACCCCUACGCGUAAUGAAAGUGAACGCAGGUGAGAGCUUCGGCGCAUCAUCGACCGAUCCUGAUGUUCUCGGAUGGAUUUGAGUAAGAGCAUACGGGGCCGGACCCGAAAGAAGGUGAACUAUGCCUGUAUAGGGUGAAGCCAGAGGAAACUCUGGUGGAGGCUCGCAGCGGUUCUGACGUGCAAAUCGAUCGUCAAAUAUGGGCAUG
rnacentral:rRNA from 1 species